GUAACCUUUUGUGGUACCGUCUUUGUUUUUUUGUUUUAUUUGACCCCUUCCACCUCUCUUCUGUUUUUUCUUCUCCUCUUCUUCCCCUGCUGUUCCUUGACCUUGACAGAUUCCAGCUUCUUGUUUGGGUGAAUUUUCCACAGUAAGUUUUGCAUAUUCAUUUGGAAAAUUCUUCUCUAAUCAUUGUCUACAUUUAGCAACAUCAGGCAUAUAUUCACAGUACUCUAUUGGUAAUGAACAGACUCCACAAUAAAGGACUCAAAGUAGGUAAUCAGCAUCUAACUUGGCUCUGUUCCUUGGGUCUCCUUUGCAGUCAGCCCUAUUGGAAUCGGAAACGUCAGCAGCCAUUUCACAAACCCAGGCAGUUGCACAGGCCCCGCCAGCUCUGCUCCCGCCACUGUUGCCAGCUGAGCCGACAAAUGCAACUCGUUUCCCCGGCCAGGGCCUCCCUAGAGCAUCAGUUGUAUUUUUAUACCUAGGAAAUAUUUUUCCUUUUUGUAAGAAUGAUAAUACAGAUGAACUGUUAUUCAACCUGGCACCACCAUCUGUACUCAAAAAGUCAUUAUUUCCUUACAUUUUAUAGUUUUUUUGUUUAAGAGACAGGGACUUGCUGUGUUGCCCAGGCUGGAGUACACUGGCAUGAUCUUGGCUCACUGCAGCUCAUUCCUGGGCCCAAGCUAUUCUCCCACCUCAGCCUCCCAAGUUGCUAGGACUAUCUGAAGCUACUAUGCCCAGCUUAAUCUACUUUUUUUUGUAGAGGCAGAGUCUUCUUGCCUAGGCUGGUCUUAGACUCCUGGCUUCAAGCAAUCUUCGCACCUCAGCCUCCCAAACUGUUGGGAUUAUGGGCUUGAACCACUGAGCCACUGUGCCCAGACUAUUUUUAUAGUUUUUUUGAGUCUCUGUUGCCCAGGCUGGAGUGCAGUCUCGGCUCAUUGCAACCUCCACCUCCUGGGUUCAAGCAAUUCUUCUGCCUCCUUCUCCCAGUAACUGGAUAACAGGCGUGCGCCACCAUGCCUGACUAAUUUUUUGUACUUUUAGUAAAGAUGGGGUUUCGCCAUGUUGGCCAGGCUGGUCUCCAACUCCUGACCUUAAAUGAUCCACCUCACUUCCCAAAGUGCUGGGAUUACAAGCGUGAGCCACUGCGCCUGGCUUACAGUUUUUAGUUUGUAGAUUCAUUAUAUUCUUUUUUUUUUUAACUUCAUGGUAGGCUGAGGAUUGUUGCCAUUUUCAAGUGAAGACAUGGAGGCUUCUAAGUGACUUGCCCACAAUGAAUAAUGGCAGAGCUGUGACACACAUUCAGUGCUGUGUUAAGUGUUCCACCUCUCUAGCAUUGCUAUUUUAUGUUGUUUGGUAAAGAGAAUAUAAUGUUUUGAUUAAGAACACCAUGGGGUGAGGCAAUGGACCAAAUUAGUAUUUCUGUUGCUUUUCUUGUUUAUUAUGCUUAAGUCUUCAUUUUUAAUUAGUUUUUACAUUUUUUUUUUUACUAAAAUGGUUUUUCCUACACAUCUUGGUCACCUUAGUGGUUCUCUUUGGAGGAGUGUGGUAGCAGUAAUUUUGAUGGGAUUAAGGUUUGUUAUGGGCAACGGCGGUGUUUACACAGAUAGACUAGAACUUUGAAGGUAAUAUCUGGUGACUGUGCUUUUUGGUUUUUAUACCUUUGCUACUUUAUCAUGAGGUCUAAUCUAUGUAUUAAAUAAUGUUUGCUGUCACUUAAUCAAGGAGGAAUUGAAAGAAAAGGCCAAGAUUGAAGAUGAGAAAAAGGAUGAAGAAAAAGAAGACCCCAAAGGAAUUCCUGAAUUUUGGUUAACUGUUUUUAAGAAUGUUGACUUGCUCAGUGAUAUGGUUCAGGAACACGAUGAACCUAUUCUGAAGCACUUGAAAGAUAUUAAAGUGAAGUUCUCAGAUGCUGGCCAGCCUAUGAGUUUUGUCUUAGAAUUUCACUUUGAACCCAAUGAAUAUUUUACAAAUGAAGUGCUGACAAAGACAUACAGGAUGAGGUCAGAACCAGAUGAUUCUGAUCCCUUUUCUUUUGAUGGACCAGAAAUUAUGGGUUGUACAGGGUGCCAGAUAGAUUGGAAAAAAGGAAAGAAUGUCACUUUGAAAACUAUUAAGAAGAAGCAGAAACACAAGGGACGUGGGACAGUUCGUACUGUGACUAAAACAGUUUCCAAUGACUCUUUCUUUAACUUUUUUGCCCCUCCUGAAGUUCCUGAGAGUGGAGAUCUGGAUGAUGAUGCUGAAGCUAUCCUUGCUGCAGACUUCGAAAUUGGUCACUUUUUACGUGAGCGUAUAAUCCCAAGAUCAGUGUUAUAUUUUACUGGAGAAGCUAUUGAAGAUGAUGAUGAUGAUUAUGAUGAAGAAGGUGAAGAAGCGGAUGAGGGUUAUCAGCUCUUUGAAGAAGUCAAAAGCUGCAGUAAACUUUUCCAACGUUGGCUGCAGUAACUAUUUUCAAUAAAAGCUGUCUGGAUGUCUCAAG
rnacentral:sRNA from 1 species